rnacentral:rRNA from 1 species
GCGGACGGGUGAGUAACGCGUGGGUAACCUGCCUUACACUGGGGGAUAACAGUCAGAAAUAGCUGCUAAUACCGCAUAAGCGCACAGUUCCGCAUGGAACAGUGUGAAAAACUCCGGUGGUGCGAGAUGGACCCGCGUCUGAUUAGCCAGUUGGCGGGGUAACGGCCCACCAAAGCGACGAUCAGUAGCCGGCCUGAGAGGGUGAACGGCCACAUUGGGACUGAGACACGGCCCAGACUCCUACGGGAGGCAGCAUG